UACGUAGGGUGCGAGCGUUGCCCGGAUUUAUUGGGCGUAAAGGGCGCGUAGGCGGCCUCUGCAAGUCGACUGUGAAAUCCCAAGGCUUAACCUUGGAACUGCGUCGGAUACUGGAUGGCUUGAAUUCGGGAGAGGGAUGCAGAAUUCCAGGUGUAGCGGUGAAAUGCGUAGAUAUCUGGAGGAAUACCGGUGGCGAAGGCGGCAUCCUGGACCGACAUUGACGCUGAACGGCGAAAGCUAGGGGAGCAAACGGG
rnacentral:rRNA from 1 species